UGAGUAACCUGCCCCAGACUCUGGGAUAAGCACUGGAAACGGUGUCUAAUACCGGAUACGAACUUCAGCCGCAUGGCUAGGAGUUGGAAAGAAUUUCGGUCUGGGAUGGACUCGCGGCCUAUCAGCUAGUUGGUGAGGUAACGGCCCACCAAGGCGACGACGGGUAGCCGGCCUGAGAGGGUGACCGGCCACACUGGGACUGAGACACGGCCAGACUCCUACGGGAGGCAG
rnacentral:rRNA from 1 species